CAUCUGAUUAGUGUCUAUUAAAGAUCAGAGGGGUGAGGAGGAAGUGCCCUGCUGAUCUGGGUGCUGAGUGCUGUGUUAUCUUUGGAUGAGUUUGGCCGCCCCGCUGGCACACCACAGUACCUUAUUACUGUGUUACCGAGUAUAUUAGAGCGCCUUCGGAAACAGCGUGGAUUUCCAGGCCAGAGGUGGAGGACGAACAAACACAAGGGCUCACAAGGAUUCUUCAUGCGCUUGCUGGGAAUGGUCCAAGUUCUGGGAGGCUGUAUGCCAGCGACAGAAGCAGCGAGAAGGCCGACAUGCUCACUGCUGGACAGGGAGGUCAUUCCACCAAAUCUGAAAGCAGACAGAAGCUAAGAAGGUCAAAGACAGUCAGGCCAGGAAGCCCCAUCAUGCCCCUGAGCCAUCUGCCAUGCCCCAGGAGCUGCCAGGAUCUACCCCCACGGAGCCUGUGAGCAGCAGCCCUGCUUAUACCCCCCACCCACCCAGCAUCCAGCACCCAGCACCCAGUCGCAGGAGGAAGCAGCCUGUCAGAGGGGAUCUGUGUUUCUGAAAGGCAAGGACCGGAAGGC